AACGAACGCUGGCGGCAUGCCUAACACAUGCAAGUCGAGCGAAGGCUUCGGCCUUAGUGGCGCACGGGUGCGUAACGCGUGGGAAUCUGCCCUUUGGUUCGGAAUAACAGCUGGAAACGGCUGCUAAUGCCGGAUGAUGACGAAAGUCCAAAGAUUUAUCGCCAGAGGAUGAGCCCGCGUUGGAUUAGGUAGUUGGUGGGGUAAAGGCCUACCAAGCCGACGAUCCAUAGCUGGGCUGAGAGGAUGAUCAGCCACACUGGGAGUGAGACACGGCCCGGACUCCUACGGGAGGCAGCAGUGGGGAAUAUUGGACACUGGGCGCAAGCCGGAUCCAGCAAUGCCGUGUGAGUGAUGAAGGCCCUAGGGUUGUAAAGCUCUUUUACCCGGGAAGAUAAUGACUGUACCGGGAGAAUAAGCCCCGGCUAACUCCGUG
rnacentral:rRNA from 1 species